rnacentral:rRNA from 1 species
UACGGAGGGGACUAGCGUUGUUCGGAAUUACUGGGCGUAAAGCGCACGUAGGCGGCUUUGCAAGUCGGGUGUGAAAUCCCCGGGCUCAACCUGGGAACUGCAUCCGAGACUGCUUUGCUCGAGUAUGGGAGAGGGAAGUGGAAUUUCCGGUGUAGCGGUGAAAUGCGUAGAUAUCGGAAGGAACAUCAGUGGCGAAGGCGACUUCCUGGACCAAUACUGACGCUCAGGUGCGAAAGCGUGGGGAGCAAACAGG